CACAGUCACGGACGGGAUCACAGCCGGUCGGCUCGACGCGGUCACGGAAAAUAAUAGCUGACAGGAUGUCGUCAUCUCUAACUGUCACUCGCGCCACAGUUCUCAAGCAAGGGACAAUAAUGGCAUCAGCCAUUCAAGUUAUGAUCCUGGCAGAUCUACUACUAUCUGAAAAGUAGUCUCUGCAGAUAUUGUCAAGAUGCACAAGAUGGAGCGUGGAGAGACGGGACAUGGACCACAGUUUUUCAGCACCCACACCCCACACUCAAAUUCAUAUAGAAGUCCUCAAUUAUUAAAUGUUAAUAUGAUAGUUUAUAUUUAGCUCUGAAGUUAUAGUUCAUUGUCAUAAAUAUUAAACUACAUAUUAUUAUUAUUAUUAUUAUUUUACAUGAUAUGCAAAUUUCACCAAUUUGUUCAAUGUGUUAAUGAACUUUUUGAAAGUGACUAUCUUUAAUAAUUCAGAUACCUGUUGAAAUGCACAUGUAAUUAUAUACUUGCUCGUAUCUGGAAGGUUGUGUUAAUAAAAAUGAUGUUGAAAGCAAAUGUUGCAAUACUGCUAAUCUUAAAAUAACAUUUUAUUAAACUAAACUUUGUAAUGUUCCAAAUAAAUGUUUUUAGGAUGUUGUAUUUUUAAG